UACGUAGGGGGCAAGCGUUGUCCGGAAUCAUUGGGCGUAAAGCGCGCGUAGGCGGCCCGGUAAGUCCGCUGUAAAAGUCAAAGGCUCAACCUUUGAAUGCCGGUGGAUACUGUCGGGCUAGAGUCCGGAAGAGGCGAGUGGAAUUCCUGGUGUAGCGGUGGAAUGCGCAGGUAUCAGGAGGAACACCAAUAGCGAAGGCAGCUCGCUGGGACGGUACUGACGCUAAGGCGCGAAAGCGUGGGGAGCGAACAGG
rnacentral:rRNA from 1 species